GUGGCCACAGGGAAAAUUUUCAGGAGCUACUGAAUGAAGGAAGAUGCACAGAGUUAAUGGAAUUUUGAACAAUGGAGAAGAGAUGAACUUACCUACUAAAAGGGGAAUUUAAAAUGACCCAUGCUUGCAAGGCUGGAGGAAGAAGUUGGCCAUCAGGGUUAUCUAUUGUCCCUGUUUGCAGAUGACAUCAUUGCAUAUCUAGAAAACCCCAUCGUCUCAGCCCAAAAUCUCCUUAAGCUGAUAAGCAACUUCAGCAAAGUCUCAGGAUACAGAAUCAAUGUGCAAAAAUCACAAGCAUUCUUAUACGCCAAAAACAGACAAAAAGAGAGCCAAAUCAUGAGUGAACUCCCAUUCGCAUUGCUUCAAAGAGAAUAAAAUACCUAGGAAUCCAACUUACAAGGGAUGUGAAGGACCUCUUCAAGGAGAACUACAAACCACUGCUCAACGAAAUAAAAGAGGAUACAAACAAAUGGAAGAACAUUCCAUGCUCAUGGAUAGGAAGAAUCAAUGUGAAAAUGGCCAUACUGUCCAAGGUAAUUUAUAGAUUCAAUGCCGUCCCCAUCAAGCUACCAAUGACUUUCUUCACAGAACUGGAAAAAAACUACUUUAAAGUUCAUAUGGAACCAAAAAAGAGCCUGCAUUGCCAAGUCAAUCCUAAGCCAAAAGAACAAAGCUGGGCAUCACGCUACCUGACUUCAAACUAUACAGCAGGUCUACAGUAACCAAAACAGCAUGGUACUUGUACCAAAACAGAGAUAUAGACCAAUGAAACAGAACAGAGCCCUCAGAAAUAAAACCACACAUCUACAAAUACCUGAUCUUUGACAAACCUGAGAAAAACAAGCAAUGGGGAAAGGAUUCCCUAUUUAACAAAUGGUGCUGGGAAAACUUGCUAGCCAUAUGUAGAAAGCUGAAACUGGAUCCCUUCCUUACACCUUAUACAAAAUUAAUUCAAGAUGGAUUAAAGACUUAAAUGUUAGACCUAAAACCAUAAAAACCCUAAAAGAAAACCUAGGCAAUACCAUUCAGGACAUAGGCAUGGGCAAGGACUUCAUGUCUAAAACACCAAAAGCAAUGGCAACAAAAGCCAAAAUUGACAAAUGGGAUCUAAUUAAACUAAAGAGUUUCUGCACAGCAAAAAAAAACUACCAUCAGAGCUAUAAAUUUUCCUCUACGCACUGCUUUGAAUGUGUCCCAGAGAUUCUGGUAUGUUGUGUCUUUGUUCUUGUUGGUUUCAAAGAACAUCUUUAUUUCUGCCUUCAUUUUGUUAUGUACCCAGUAGUCAUUCAGGAGCAGGUUGUUCAGUUUCCAUGUAGUUGAGCGGUUUUGAGUGAGUUUCUUAAUCCUGAGUUCUAGUUUGAUUGCACUGUGGUCUGAGAGACAGUUUGCUAUAAUUUCUGUUCUUUUACAUUUGCUGAGGAGUGCUUUACUUCCAACUAUGUGGUCAAUUUUGGAAUAAGUGCAGUGUGGUGCUGAGAAGAAAGUAUAUUCUGUUGACUUGGGGUGGAGAGUUCUGUACAUGUCUAUUAGGUCUGCUUGGUGCAGCACACCAACAUGGCACAUGUAUACAUAUGUAACUAACCUGCACGUUGUGCACAUGUACCCUAAAACUUAAAGUAUAAUAAUAAUAAAAAAGAAACUACCAUCAGAGUGAACAGGCAACUUACAGAAUGGGAGAAAAUUUUUGCAAUCUACUUAUCUGACAAAGGGCUAAUAUCCAGAAUCUACAAAGAACUCUAACAAAUUUACAAGAAAAAAACAAACAACCCCAUCAACAAAUGGGAGAAGGAUAUGAACAGACACUUCUCAAAAGAAGGCAGCCAACAGACACAUGUAAAAAUGCUCAUCAUCACUGGCCAUCAGAGAAAUGCAAAUCAAAACCACAAUGAGAUACCAUCUCACACCAGUUAGAAUGGUGAUCAUUAAAAAGUCAGGAAACAACAGGUGCUGGAGAGGAUGUGGAGAAAUAGGAACACUUUUACACUGUUGGUGGGACAAAAACUGGUUCAACCAUUGUGGAAGACAGUGUGGUGAUUCCUCAGGGAUCUAGAACUAGAAAUACCAUUUGACCCAGCCAUCCCAUUACUGGGUAUAUACCCAGAGGAUUAUAAAUUAUGCUACUAUAAAGACACAUGCACAUGUAUGUUUAUUGUGGCACUAUUCACAAUAGCAAAGACCUGGAACCAACCCAGAUGUCCAACAAUGAUAGACUGGAUUAAGAAAAUGUGGCACCUAUACCCCAUGGAAUACUAUGCAACCAUAAAAAAUGAUGAGUUCAUGUCCUUUGUAGGGACAUGGAUGAAGCUGGAAACCAUCAUUCUCAGCAAACCAUCGCAAGAACAAAAAACCAAACACCGCAUGUUCUUACUCAUAGCUGGGAAUUGAACAAUGAGAACACUUGGACAUGGGAAGGGGGACAUCACACACCAGGGCCUGUUGUGGGGUUGGGGGAGGGGGAAGGGAUAGCAUUAGCAGGUAUACCUAAUGUAAAUGACGAGUUACUGGGUGCAGCACACCAGCAUGGCACAUGUAUACAUAUGUAACUAACCUGCACGUUGUGCACAUGUACCCUAGAACUUUAAGUAUAAUAAUAAAAAAUGCUCUUUCAAAAGAAAUAAAAACAAAUCACAAGUAGUCAGAAACUGGGCUUCCCUUUAGAUGAGGUAGCAGGUCUUAGCUACAAGACUAGAAAUGCCAUGGUAUUACAGCCUAAAAUAUCAAAGAAAGUGUUUUCUCAAUUAGACUUAAUUAAUAGGGUAUUACCAUUUCUCAGUAUUUUGUCUAUUCUUAAUAACUGGCAAAACAUCCGGUCUCUCACUAGUAGAUUUGGGCAACAAAAUGCGGCCUUUUAUACACAUUAGCAAGCUACAGUUAUACUCAGGGACCUGUAAUAUAAAUAAGAUGUAUAUCUUAAAGCUAUUCACUGCAAGGAGGAUGAUAGUACUAAAAUAUGUCAGGAUUCAUUUUACCCAUUGGUAAAAUGAAAAUAAAGUUGUAUUUAUCUCAAAGGGUAAUUAAGGGAUCAAAUUAGGUAAUAGAGGUAAAAUGUUUAACAUGCCAUGUGCAAAGCAAGCUUUCAAUAGAUUUUAGUUAUUAAUACGUGUUAUUUCUCUUUAGCUACUAGUAGUUGAAUGAAGAAAAUUCAACUAUAUUUAUGGAAUAGUCAUUUAUGCGAUACUCGUUAUUCUGAAGAACACCUUCUGUAAUGACCCAAAACCAGUUCAGAAAACCACAACAUUUCUGAAUUCAAUCUGGAGGUUCUCUUCUUGGAGUGUGUCACCUCUGAAACUCAUGUUGAAAUUUGAUUCUCAAUAUGGCCGUAUUGAGUAGGUGUUUGCAUCAUGGGGAC